GUAGGUGGCAAGCGUUGCCCGGAAUUAUUGGGCGUAAAGCGCGCGCAGGCGGUUCUUUAAGUCUGAUGUGAAAGCCCACGGCUCAACCGUGGAGGGUCAUUGGAAACUGGAGAACUUGAGUACAGAAGAGGAAAGCGGAAUUCCACGUGUAGCGGUGAAAUGCGUAGAGAUGUGGAGGAACACCAGUGGCGAAGGCGGCUUUCUGGUCUGUAACCGACGCUGAGGCGCGAAAGCGUGGGGAGCAAACAGGGAUUAGAUACCCUGGUAGUCCACGCCGUAAACGAUGAGUGCUAAGUGUUAGGGGGUUUCCGCCCCCUUAGUGCUGCAGCUAACGCAUUAAGCACUCCGCCUGGGGAGUACGGCCGCAAGGCUG
rnacentral:rRNA from 1 species